rnacentral:rRNA from 1 species
AACUUCACAAGAAUGGGAAGAAUAAGUCGGGGUUAAUACCCCCGAUGAUGACGGUACCAUUUGUAAGCUCCGGCUAACUCCGUGCCAGCAGCCGCGGUAAUACGGGGGGAGCAAGCGUUGUUCGGAUUUACUGGGCGUAAAGGGCGCGUAGGCGGCGCAACAAGUCACUUGUGAAAUCUCCGGGCUUAACCCGGAGCGGUCAAGUGAUACUGUCGUGCUAGAGUGCGGAAGGGGCAACUGGAAUUCUCGGUGUAGCGGUGAAAUGCGUAGAUAUCGAGAGGAACACCUGCGGCGAAGGCGGGUUGCUGGGCCGACACUGACGCUGAGGCGCGAAAGCCAGGGGAGCGAACGGGAUUAGAUACCCCGGUAGUCCUGGCCUUAAACGAUGGAUGCUUGGUGUCCGGGGUUAUAAAGUCCCCGGGUGCCGUCGCUAACGCUUUAAGCAUCCCGCCUGGGGAGUACGCACGCAAGUGUGAAACUCAAAGGAAUUGACGGGGACCCGCACAAGCGGUGGAGCAUGUGGUUUAAUUCGACGCAACGCGAAGAACCUUACCUGGGCUAGAAUGCCCCUGACAGCCGUAGAGAUACGGUCUUCCGGGUAAAACCGGACAGGGUGCAAG